rnacentral:rRNA from 1 species
AUGAUUGGAAAGGCUCUUUCCAAGCAUAAGGGACUAAAGAACCGGAACCUCCCCUCCUCCCUCCCGCGACGCUCCCGCAAGCGUCCGGGGGGCAACCCUAGCACCGCCGCCGGUCCCCCCUCCUCCUCUCCCUCCCCCCUCGCGGCCGCCCGGGGGCGCGAGCGCCCGCUCGUCGCUGGCGGCGGCGGGGCCUUCUCGUCUCCGCGCGUGGGGGUUUCUGUGAGGGCCGGAUGCCUCUGGCCGGAUGCGGCGCUUGGCGCUGGCCGUGGCAGCUCGGUAGCGCGCCGACGUGGGCUGUCAGCGGCGCAUGCCAGCGAUGCGAUGGGCAGUGCGGUGGUGGUGCAGGCUGGAGGCUGGUGGUGGCGGUGGCGCGCCCAGAUCCGCCUCUGGCGCCGCGAGUUGCGGGCGACCUGGGUCGCGGUCGGCCUUCCCUACCAUGGCUCGUGGGCCGGGGGGGGGCAGCGGGUGGAUGCGUGUGCCGUUGCCCGUUCGGGCCCUUGCGGCAGGUCGACGUCGCACGGCGCUGGAGACUCCUCUGGUGGCCAUCCAUGGAUGCGGCAGCGGGCUCUGCUUCCUCAUUAG